AACGAACGCUGGCGGCAUGCCUAACACAUGCAAGUCGAACGAGACCUUCGGGUCUAGUGGCGCACGGGUGCGUAACGCGUGGGAACCUGCCCUUAGGUUCGGAAUACCUCCCCGAAAGGGGUGCUAAUACCGGAUAAUUUCUUCGGACCAAAGAUUUAUCGCCUUUGGAUGGGCCGGCGUUGGAUUAGCUAGUUGGUAGGGUAAAAGCCUACCAAGGCUACGAUCCAUAGCUGGUCUGAGAGGAUGAUCAGCCACACUGGGACUGUGACACGGCCCAGACUCCUACGGGAGGCAGCAGUGGGGAAUAUUGGACAAUGGGCGAAAGCCUGAUCCAGCAAUGCCGCGUGAGUGAUGAAGGCCUUAGGGUUGUAAAGCUCGUUUACCCGGGAUGAUAAUGACGGUACCGGGAGAAUAAGCUCCGGCUAACUCCGUG
rnacentral:rRNA from 1 species